UCCGUAGGUGAACCUGCGGAGGGAUCAUUAAAGAGUUUAAUAAAACUCCUAAAC
rnacentral:rRNA from 1 species